CUGUGGCGUCCCCGAAUCCGGGUCCCAAAUCGCCGCGGAUUCGGUACAAUCAUUCUACAACUGUUUGCGGAAGAUAUAAACAUAGAUUGUUUAUACAUUAAACUUUACACACAUUUCCCCAGAAUCGAGUAACCUUCACUUAUACACAAUCAUGAACUAUCUAGCACAUGACAAUACUAUUCUUCAACAUACUUUACAACUU
rnacentral:lncRNA from 1 species